rnacentral:rRNA from 1 species
AACGAACGCUGGCGACAUGCCUAACACAUGCAAGUCGAACGAGACCUUCGGGCCUAGUGGCGCACGGGUGCGUACCGCGUGGGAAUCUGCCCUUGGGUUCGGUAUCCCAGAUGGAAACGACUGCUAAUACCGGUUGAUGACGUAAGUCCAAAGAUUUAUCGCUAAAGGAUGAGCCCGCGUAGGAUUAGCUAGUUGGUGAGGUAAAGGCUCACCAAGGCGACGAUCCUUAGCUGGUCUGAGAGGAUGAUCAGCCACACUGGAACUGAGACACGGCCCAGACUGGGACGGAGGGCAGCGGUAGAGAAUAUUAGGGGAUGAACGAAAGCCUAGUCAAGCAAUGCGGCGUGAGAGAGGAAGGCCUUAGUGUUGUGAAGCUCUUUGACCCGGAAUGAGAAUGACAGUAACGGGAGAAUAAGCUCCGGCUAACUCCGUG